AGUGGUAGAGUUCAUUUUGAAUGCAAGUUGCUUGUAUUAUGAAUUUGUAUUUGUCUUGGUUGUAUAUCUUGCAUAAUAGUUUAGCUAGAGUUUUAGCAUUUACUGUAUUUAUUAAAAUGAUUUCUUUUGUAAAGCAUUCAUAGCUUGAGCAGCAGCAUUUUUCAACAGUGUAACUGAGUAAGUGUGAAUGCAGAAGAAAAUAUUGUCUGCCCUAUUAAACUUGGUGCCAAUUAGCGGCGUUUACAAUGUUCAUUGUGCCUGUUAAUGUAGUUUUAGUUAUUGGAGCUUUUGUUAACACUAGACUUGUUUUUGAGUUACAUUAUUAAGAGUGUUGGAAUUCAUUUAAGUUUAAUGUAGUUCUAGUGCUUGUAAAAUGGUGCCCUUUCAUUUAGUAUGAUUUUUUUCAAACCGUGUCUUCAAGUACUAUAUUAUUAUCCUUCAGAAGAAUUUUAGGCUGGCUGGAUGCGGUGGCUCAUGCCUGUAAUUCCCAGCUGUAGGGGCCAGCCCUACAGGGUCUGUGGGUUUUUCUCCUCGUGUGCGGAGACAAGAGAUGGUAGAAAUAAAGACACAAGACAAAGAGAUAGAAUAAAAGACGGCUGGGCCCGGGGGACCACUACCACCAAGAUGCGGAGACCAGUAGUGGCCCCAAAUGCCAGAUUGAGCUGUUAUUUAUUAGAUACAAGGCAAGGGGCAGGGUAAGGAGUAUGAGUCGUCUCCAAUGACAGGUAAGGUCACCCAAGUCACGUGUCCACUGGACAGGGGACCCUUCUCUGUUUGGCAGCUGAGGCGGAGAGAGAGACGUGACAGCUUACGCCAUUACUUCUGCAUUUCAAAGACUUUUAGUACUUUCACUAAUUCUGCUACUGCUAUCUAAAAGGCGGAGCCAGGUGUUCAGGACUAGGAGCGUGACCGCUGAAGCACAGCAUCACAGGGAGACGGUUAGGCCUCCAGAUGACUGCAGGCAGGCCUGACUCAUGUCAGGCCCUCCACAAGAGGUGGUGGAGCAGAGUCUUCUCUAACUCCCCCGGGGAAAGGGAGACUCCCUUUCCCGGUCGGCUAAGUAACGAGCGCCUUUUCUUUUCUUUUUUUUUUUUUUUACUCUUAGGUAUAAAGUUUAUUGAGAUUUUUAGAUAGCAAUGAAAAUAAGCAUGACAUAUCUCAGAUCUAUAGGAAAUCAGGGAAGAUUAAACAAAAAUAAAAAGUAUAUUUAAAAAGAGUGCCUUUUCUAGGCACUGACGCUACCGCUAGACCACGGUCCGUUAGGUGACAGGCAUCUUCCCAGACGCGGGCGUUACCGCUAGACCAAGGAGCCCUCUAGUGGCCCUGUCCGGGCAUAACAGAAGGCUCACACUCUUCUGGUCACUUCUCACCCUGUCCCUUUAGCUCCUAUCUCUGUAUGGCCUGGUUUUUCCUAGGUUAUAAUUGUAGAACAAAGAUUAUUAUAAUACUGGAAUAAAGAGUAGUGCUACAAACUAAUGAAGAAUGAUAUUCAUAUGUAAUCAUAUCUAUAAUCUAUUUCUAGUAUAACUAUUCUUAUUCUAUAUAUUUUCCUCAUUAUACUGGAACAGCUCGUGCCCUCUGUCUCUUGCCUUGGCACCUGGGUGGCUUGCCGCCCACACCCAGCACUUUGGGAGGCCGAGGCAGGUGGAUCACUUGAGGUCAGGAGUUAGAGACUAGCCUGGCCAACAUGGUGAAACCCCAUCCCUAGUAAAAAUACAAAAAAUUAUCCGGGCGUGGUGGCAUGCACCUGUAAUCCCAGUUACUUGGGAGGCUGAGGCAGGAGAAUAGCUUGAACCUGGGAGGCAGAGGUUGCAGUGAGCCGAGAUCACACCACUGCACUCCAGCCUGGGCAACAGAGCAAGACUCCAUCUCAAAAAAAAAAGAAGAAGAAGAAGAAGAAGAAGAGGAAGAAGAAGAAGGAGAAGGAGAAGGAGAAGGAGAAGGAGAAGGAGAAGGAGAAGGAGAAGGAGAAGAAGAAGAAGAAGAAGAAGGAAGAAGAGGAGGAGGAGGAGGAGAAGAAGAAGAAGAAUAAUAAGAAUAAUUUUAUAGGCUGAUGGUAUGAAACCAUGGCCCAGAGAAGCAAAGCAGCUUGUCCAAGGUCAUAUAGCCAGCUAAUCGCAGGACCAGGCUGGGAAGAGUUUCACAACUCAGGCCAGUGCUGCCUCUAAUCUGUUUAUGUAUCUACUGAGUGACUCAGAACCAAAGCCAGUAAAUCCUUUAUGAGGUAACAAAGGACAGAUAUGAGGCACCUCAAAGUGGCAUGAAGAGGAAGUCCUCACAAGAUCUGGAGCCAGCCCCUAAAGAGACUUCAAUAACAGAAAAGUAAAAAUGGUCCAUAAAAGGGAAAAAGAUCAAUAUCAAAUGGUAAUGUAACUCUCCAAACAGUCGAGAGUCACACAAACAUAAAUUCAAAACAAAUAAUUC
rnacentral:lncRNA from 1 species